AAGGAAGGGAAGACUAGGAGAGGGGUUGGGAGAAUCGAGGAGCCGCCACCGAGACUUAGUCCAGAAUCGAGGGAAGCCGACAUCGUGAAGAAACUUAGCAGAAAUCUGGGAAUAGUCUAAGACAGUAAGCGCACUUGUGUGGCUCAAAUCUCGUGGCUCAAAUCUCGUUCUAUGUUGAGGCUAAAAUCACGAAAAAAAAUAUCAAGACAUAUUCCUCAACACGAUAUAGAACUUUUCCGAAGGAACCAUAUUGAUUUGAGCUCCGGAUCAAAAGAUGUGAAAAUUGGAAAAUGGUGGAUCGGAAAAGGGCUACAUAUUAUAGGAGAGAGAGAAAAGAAAACAAAAAAGAAAAAGAAAAAAAGGGUGGCGGGCGGCAGAACACGGCUCGGCAGGCGGCGACACGCAUUGAGUGUCGGCUGGAGCGACGCAGCUCUAGCGAAAUGAUGACGCGUGUCAUCAAUAGGAACCAGGCCGAACCGUAGUGAAUCAAACCAUUGGCCGAAUUGACCCGACUCGCGACUGCUUGAAGCAGUCCGCGCAUGGUGGUCGUGGGUGCAGCCUGCGACUAGCGCCUUUCCUGUGCGUGGCUGGCGUGUGGUCGGCGCAUAAGGGCGCGUGGGAGGCUCGUUUUUCAUCCGUUUACCUUCUGUUUGUCCUUAUUCCUAUUUUAAUAAUAUUUUUAUAUGAAUAAGGACCUAAUCAAGGAUUAUCAGUGUUUUUGGACACCUUACAAGCACAGACGCGCUAGCGAAAGGGCACGCGUCAACCAAGUAGGUCACCACACGGAACUUAGGAAGAAAUACUUGGAAUCGCCUUAGUAUGCAUGCAUGCUAGAUUAGUUUCCUUAUGUGAUUGGACUUUUCUAUGUUGUGAGCUUAGGUUGCAAAGUACAUGUUGUAUGACCAAUUAUAUAUGCUUCCAUAAUAAGUUAAACAUGUUUUAUGCUUCCGCUUAGUGUGUAAUUUUUUAUGCAUGCUGAAAGAAGGAUGGGUAAAUUGUGAACUCUGCGUUCCAGGUGUUGAUGGACGUUAUCACCCCGUUGAGCAUAAUUGCCUAUUUUUGCAUAAACGGCACGUGGGCGUUGGGCUGAGGUAGGGUGGAUCAGAGGGUGAAUUGUCACAGAGGAAUGCAUGUCCCGGGGUGUCAGUCCAGUCUUUUCUUUUGCAUUUAGAUUUUCACAUUUUUUUUUUUUUGGAACUUUCAUUUGUUUGAAUCUUUGUAUUGAAACUUUCAGUCAUAGGAAUAAAUGAUUUCAC